rnacentral:lncRNA from 1 species
GCUCAUGUGUCUGGGGUCACAAAAGAGGUGGCCAAGGAAAGGCUCAGUCCUCUCUGCUCCCCCCCUUCUGUGCCCAAGAAAUGUGACAAAACCAAAGUAACUGGAGGCAGGAAAUGAAUCGAGCAGAGUUAUGUCUAUGUAGGUAGAGAGACAGGAAACUGCAGGAGAGCUUCCAUGGCAGUUGAGAUCAGUGGGAUAACUGCUCUGAACGCGGGAUAUGCCUAAAAUGACAGAGUGAAUGUAAGAGCAUCUUCUGUCACAGCUGGAUAGUAAAGAUAAAUCUUUGAUGUUUAUUGAGCAUUAAAACUACAGUGAAAGCUCCAUACAGAAAGCAUUGAGGCAAUUAAUAUUCCUGCUUUCCUCUGCAUGGAAUGGAGUUCAGUGGUUUCCAGAAGACUUGUAUGUAAAAAGCAGAAACAUAUUUACUGGCAAGCUGAUCCCAUCUGUGCUCCCGCGCUGUAAAGCUUCCCCCC